AUUGAACGCUGGCGGCAGGCUUAACACAUGCAAGUCGAGCGGUAGAGAAGAGCUUGCUUUUCUUGAGACCGGCGCACGGGUGCGUAACGCGUAUGCAACCUACCUUUAUCAGGGGGAUAGCCUCUCGAAAGAGAGAUUAACACCGCAUAAAAACACAGUACGGCAUCGUACAAUGUUCAAAUAUUUAUAGGAUAAUGAUGGGCACGCGUGACAUUAGCUAGUUGGUGAGGUAAGGGCUCACUAAGGCGACGAUGUCUAGGGGAUCUGAGAGGAUGACCCCCCACACUGGUACUGAGACACGGACCAGACUCCUACGGGAGGCAGCAGUAAGGAAUAUUGGUAAAUGGGGGCAACCCUGAACCAGCCAUGCCGCGUGCAGGAAGACGGCCCUACGGGUUGUAAACUGCUUUUAUACGGGAAUAAACCCCUUUACGUGUAAAGGGUUGAAUGUACUGUAAGAAUAAGGAUCGGCUAACUCCGUGCCAGCAGCCGCCGUAA
rnacentral:rRNA from 1 species